AGGCAUCCUCGCAUGGCAGAAGUCUGAGGACAACGCCGCGUGAGUGAAGAAGGUCUUCGGAUUGUAAAACUCUGUUAUACGGGACGAAAAAGACGGAUGCCAACAGUAUCCGUCCGUGACGGUACCGUAAGAGAAAGCCACGGCUAACUACGUGCCAGCAGCCGCGGUAAUACA
rnacentral:rRNA from 1 species